AGUGAACGCUGGCGGUAGGCCUAACACAUGCAAGUCGAACGGCAGCACAGUAAGAGCUUGCUCUUACGGGUGGCGAGUGGCGGACGGGUGAGGAAUACAUCGGAAUCUACUUUUUCGUGGGGGAUAACGUAGGGAAACUUACGCUAAUACCGCAUACGACCUACGGGUGAAAGCAGGGGAUCUUCGGACCUUGCGCGAUUGAAUGAGCCGAUGUCGGAUUAGCUAGUUGGCGGGGUAAAGGCCCACCAAGGCGACGAUCCGUAGCUGGUCUGAGAGGAUGAUCAGCCACACUGGAACUGAGACGCGGUCCAGACUCCUACGGGGGGCAGCAGUGGGGAAUAUUGGACAAUGGGCGCAAGCCUGAUCCAGCCAUACCGCGUGGGUGAAGAAGGCCUUCGGGUUGUAAAGCCCUUUUGUUGGGAAAGAAAAGCAGCAGGUUAAUACCCCGCUGUUCUGACGGUACCCAAAGAAUAAGCACCGGCUAACUUCGUG
rnacentral:rRNA from 1 species